AGCGAACGCUGGCGGCAGGCCUAAUACAUGCAAGUCGAACGGUCUCUUCGGAGGCAGUGGCGGACGGGUGAGUAACGCGUGGGAACGUGCCCUUUGGUACGGAACAACUGAGGGAAACUUCAGCUAAUACCGUAUGUGCCCUUCGGGGGAAGAUUUAUCGCCAUUGGAGCGGCCCGCGUUGGAUUAGCUAGUUGGUGGGGUAAUGGCCCACCAAGGCGACGAUCCAUAGCUGGUCUGAGAGGAUGAUCAGCCACACUGGGACUGAGACACGGCCCAGACUCCUACGGGAGGCAGCAGUAGGGAAUCUUGCGCAAUGGGCGAAAGCCUGACGCAGCCAUGCCGCGUGAAUGAUGAAGGUCUUAGGAUUGUAAAAUUCUUUCACCGGGGACGAUAAUGACGGUACCCGGAGAAGAAGCCCCGGCUAACUUCGUGCCAGCAGCCGCGGUAAUGUCAC
rnacentral:rRNA from 1 species